rnacentral:lncRNA from 1 species
GGAGAGAUCAAAAGAUUGUGAAAAAAUAAAUAAAUAUGAUAUCCUAUGCUUUUGCCUUUUUGUCAUAAUUUAUUAUCACUAACUUUUAAGGGCCGGUAUUAUCUUUAAUAAGUCUUAAAACAUACUAAAAUUCAUUCUAUUCUUAUUCUCAGGUUAAGGUGGUACCUAACACUACAGGGAGAUAACUCUGUAAUAUCAGAUAAACGUUUUAAAUAUGUUGCGUUGUGAAGGCAAUAUAAAGCUUCUCAAUGAUCAAAAUUAGUGUUUGUCAAACUGCUUUAUAACCAGUGUAAUUUUUCUGAUAAAAUGGUUGGUUCAAAGUUUUUGAUUUUUUUUAUAUUAUUGUCAAAGGGUCAAAGUAAAUACUUUGUUAAACUUUCAUGAAAAUUAAACGAGCCAAAUUAAUUUUAGUGAAAGUGUUGGGUACCACCUUAAAUAUUACACAUGUACUUUUCUGAUACCCCAAUUCUGAUUUAAACCUAGCUACAUUAUGAUUUUUUCAACUAGAUCAUGCUUUCAUACAGAUAUCAAGUCAGCUUCUAACAAUAACUAUCGAUUUGUAGCACAUUUUUGAAGUCUUCUUUUACUGGCCAUGUUGAACAAACUACACUUAUACUCUGAAGGCACUUUUAUUCAGUAGAAAUUCUCCCCAUUUUCAUCAUGAUUACCUAAUGGCUGGUGUUUGUAUAUAUGAUAUUCGAUAAUACACUGUUACAAGAUAGUGCAAGUCAAAUGAAAGAAAGCCUAAUUCAUUGAGGCAUAUGAGGUAGGAUUGAUAUAAAUUAGACUGUUACCGGUUUCAUUAUUUGAGAAAGAAUAUCAGUGGCAAAGCUUUGAACUCAGCAGAUGUUCUACAAUCUUUACAUGAAUUUGUGUAAAAAAAGCGUUAAAAUAUUUUCCAAAGGGGACAUAAUUAAUGCUAUGUUUCGCUCAUAAAAAAAGAAUCUUAUGUCAAGUAUUGUUCAUACAAGAUAAUAUGCAGUAUAAAGCAAUUUUACUAUAGGUGAAUGUAGUUAUGCUACAUUGCAUUUUAACGGCAUAUAUUAUCUAUUGAUAUGUGUAAAUAUGGAAAAUUUUGCCUGUUUUUUUUUUAUUAUUUACAAAACAAAUGGUUGGUAGUUACCUGUUCUUGUAAACAACUAACAAGGAACCAGUGGGCUGAUUUGAAAAGAACUGUUAUCUUUUUAUAUUCACAUUUCAUUGGCAAUCCUCAUAAUUGGGUAGACUUUCAAUGAUCCCUCUCUAACCAAUAUGACAUUUGGAACCAUUUACAAAAUGGAUAUAACCAAAAUUGGUCUUUUCUUUAGUCUCAAAAUAAUCACGCUGGAAAUUAUAUUACACCUUCUAAAGGUGAACGCUUUCUUUAAACAUUUUGUAUGAAUUCUAAUGAAAAAAUAAGCAUAUAAUGAA